rnacentral:rRNA from 1 species
AACGAACGCUGGCGGCGUGGAUAAGACAUGCAAGUCGAGCGGAGUAUAUUGGGUAGCAAUACUUGGUAUAUUCAGCGGCGCAAGGGUGCGUAACACGUGGGUAAUUUGCCAUGAAGUUUGGAAUAACUUGCUGAAAGGCGAGCUAAUACCGGAUGUGAAAAUUGAUGGGCAUCUAUUGAUUUUCAAAGUUGGGACCGCAAGGCCUGACGCUUUAUGAUAAGCCCGCGGCCUAUCAGCUAGUUGGUGAGGUAACGGCUCACCAAGGCUAAGACGGGUAGCUGGUCUGAGAGGACGACCAGCCACACUGGAACUGAGACACGGUCCAGACACCUA